rnacentral:rRNA from 1 species
AGAGUUUGAUCCUGGCUCAGGAUGAACGCUGGCGGCGUGCUUAACACAUGCAAGUCGAGCGAAGCGCAUAAGUUUGAUUCUUCGGAUGAAAAUUUUGUGACUGAGCGGCGGACGGGUGAGUAACGCGUGGGUAACCUGCCUUACACAGGGGGAUAACAGUUAGAAAUGACUGCUAAUACCGCAUAAGACCCCGGUACCGCAUGGUACAGAGGUAAAAACUGAGGUGGUGUAAGAUGGACCCGCGUCUGAUUAGGUAGUUGGUGAGGUAACGGCUCACCAAGCCGACGAUCAGUAGCCGGCCUGAGAGGGUGGACGGCCACAUUGGGACUGAGACACGGCCCAGACUCCUACGGGAGGCAGCAGUGGGGAAUAUUGCACAAUGGGGGAAACCCUGAUGCAGCGACGCCGCGUGAGCGAUGAAGUAUUUCGGUAUGUAAAGCUCUAUCAGCAGGGAAGAAAAUGACGGUACCUGACUAAGAAGCCCCGGCUAACUACGUG